rnacentral:rRNA from 1 species
UACGGGGGGAGCAAGCGUUGUCGGAUUUACUGGGCGUAAAGAGCGCGCAGGCGGUCGUUCAAGUCGAGUGUGAAAGCCCCCCGGCUCAACUGGGGAGGGUCAUUCGAUACUGAUCGACUGGAAGGCAGGAGAGGGAAGCGGAAUUCCCGGUGUAGUGGUGAAAUGCGUAGAUAUCAGGAGGAACACCAAUGGCGAAGGCAGCUCGCUGGGACGUGACUGACGCUCAUGCACGAAAGCGUGGGGAGCAAACAGG